UCUAGAUUAGAGUUUGAUCAUGGCUCAGGACGAACGCUGGCGGCGUGCCUAAUACAUGCAAGUCGAGCGGACAGAUGGGAGCUUGCUCCCUGAAGUCAGCGGCGGACGGGUGAGUAACACGUGGGCAACCUGCCUGUAAGACUGGGAUAACUUCGGGAAACCGGAGCUAAUACCGGAUAACACCGAGGACCUCAUGGUCCUUGGUUGAAAGAUGGCUUCGGCUAUCACUUACAGAUGGGCCCGCGGCGCAUUAGCUAGUUGGUGAGGUAACGGCUCACCAAGGCGACGAUGCGUAGCCGACCUGAGAGGGUGAUCGGCCACACUGGGACUGAGACACGGCCCAGACUCCUACGGGAGGCAGCAGUAGGGAAUCUUCCGCAAUGGACGAAAGUCUGACGGAGCAACGCCGCGUGAGCGAUGAGGGCCUUCGGGUCGUAAAGCUCUGUUGUUAGGGAAGAACAAGUACCGUUCGAAUAGGGCGGUACCUUGACGGUACCUAACCAGAAAGCCACGGCUAACUACGUGCCAGCAGCCGCGGUAAUACGUAGGUGGCAAGCGUUGUCCGGAAUUAUUGGGCGUAAAGCGCGCGCAGGCGGUUCCUUAAGUCUGAUGUGAAAGCCCACGGCUCAACCGUGGAGGGUCAUUGGAAACUGGGGAACUUGAGUGCAGAAGAGGAAAGCGGAAUUCCACGUGUAGCGGUGAAAUGCGUAGAGAUGUGGAGGAACACCAGUGGCGAAGGCGGCUUUCUGGUCUGUAACUGACGCUGAGGCGCGAAAGCGUGG
rnacentral:rRNA from 1 species